AAGAGUUGCAAAACUCCAACCCCUGUGAACCUUACCUUUACUGUUGCUUCGGCGGUUGGCGCCGGCGCCCAGAUGGGCCUGGAGGUUUGCCGCCGGAGGUUCGAAACCCUGAAUUUCUAGUGUAUCUCUGAGAAAGAAAACAAAACAAAUUA
rnacentral:misc_RNA from 1 species